AGACUCAAGUUUCCACCAUGACAGUGGUACAAAGUGUCGUCCUCUUGGCUCUCAUUUCAGCUGCUCAGGGCCAGUCCCUAACCUCCUCAGAGCCAGUGGUCAGCAGAGCAGGAGGAACAGUCACUCUGUCCUGCAAAGUGGAGGGACUGACGCUGGCUUGGCUGCACUGGAUCCGUCAGAAACCAGGGAAAGGACUGGAAUGGAUCGGACGCAUUGAUAGCGGAACAGGCACAAUAUUUGCCCAAAGUCUCCAAGGCCAGUUUGCCAUCACCAAAGACACUUCCACAAAUCUCGUAUACUUAAAGGUGAACAGUGUCAAACAAGAGGACUCAGCAGUUUAUUAUUGUGCACGAGAGCCUCAGUGA